AGUUAGUCGUACCACUCAUAUGCCAAAAAUAGAAAAAGGAUAUUUGUAUAUAUAUCAGAAGCAUGGUGUGUACAUCCCAUUUUCCAAAACCUUAUGUGGUCAAAUGAUUCAUAUUGGGGUGAGCUAUCAACUUUUUGGGGUGGAUGUACAAUUCCUCUACUCUCAUGUGAUUAUAAUAAAAUUCAAGUCACUGAUUUUUUUUUUGGUUCCUUUCUUCAGUUCACAUUCAAUGUGAUAGUAAAACAAGCUCUUGGGUUGACACCAGAAGAGCCACAAACUUCAAAAAUACUGGAAGAUUUCCUCACUUCAUGAAAGGACUCAUCUCCUUUCCACUAUAUAUUCCAGGCACUCCAUAUGUAAGAGCUGUUCAGGUACUUCCAGUCAUAUUUCAGUAGAAAUAUUUCAGACCCUUUUCAUGCAUAGAUACCAUUUUCUUAGGCUAGAGCAAGAAUAUCUUCUACAGUGAAAGCUAUAGUUGAAGAGAGAAGAUCAAAGGGAGAGAACUCUGCUGGUAAUAAGAAAAGUGAUUUCCUUGAAAUACUCCUAUCAGCAAAUAGCCUGUCUGAGGAUGAAAGGGUGAGCUUUGUACUGGAUUCUUUGUUGGGUGGGUGUGAAACCACCUCCCUCCUCAUGGCAUUGGCAGUUCUCUUCUUGGGUCAAUCACCAGCUGCUUUGCAACAACUGAGGGUAGACACCAUCUUUCUCUCUCCUCCCCUUUUAGCCAUUUCAAGCUCCAUAUAAAAAAGUUGAAAUUCAAUGGCCUUCUUUGAAAUUUUUUAUAAAAAGAAAAGAGAGAAAAUGAAAGAAACCCUUUUUUUUUUUUGAAACAGUCAGAGCAUGAAAGUAUAAGAAAUGUUGAAGGAAAAGAAGAGUACUUGAACUGGGAUGACUACAAGAAAAUGGAGUUUACUCUACAUGUAAGUGUAACUUUCUAAUCUUUUAAAUUAAGGGCUAUAGAUUAAUAUAUGACUUUAUAUUGGUUUCUUAAAUGGUAGUGAUUGGAUAGAUGGUA